UGGGGAAUAUUGGACAAUGGGGGAAACCCUGAUCCAGCCAUCCCGCGUGUGCGAUGAAGGCCUUCGGGUUGUAAAGCACUUUUGGCAGGAAAGAAACGUCGUGGGUUAAUACCCCGCGAAACUGACGGUACCUGCAGAAUAAGCACCGGCUAACUACGUGCCAGCAGCCGCGGUAAUACGUAGGGUGCAAGCGUUAAUCGGAAUUACUGGGCGUAAAGCGUGCGCAGGCGGUUCGGAAAGAAAGAUGUGAAAUCCCAGAGCUUAACUUUGGAACUGCAUUUUUAACUACCGGGCUAGAGUGUGUCAGAGGGAGGUGGAAUUCCGCGUGUAGCAGUGAAAUGCGUAGAUAUGCGGAGGAACACCGAUGGCGAAGGCAGCCUCCUGGGAUAACACUGACGCUCAUGCACGAAAGCGUGGGGAGCAAACAGGAUUAGAUACCCUGGUAGUCCACGCCCUAAACGAUGUCAACUAGCUGUUGGGGUCUUCGGACCUUGGUAGGCGCAGCUAACGCGUGAAGUUGACCGCCUGGGGAGUACGGUCGC
rnacentral:rRNA from 1 species